rnacentral:rRNA from 1 species
AGCAGCCGCGGUAAUUCCAGCUCCAAUAGCGUAUAUUAAAGUUGUUGCAGUUAAAAAGCUCGUAGUUGAAUUUCGGGACUAAUAUGUCGGUCGUACUUUGUACGUACUAGCAUUAUUGGUUUCUCCCUUCUGACGAACCACGAUGUCAUUAAUUUGGUGUCAUGGGAAAUCAGGACUGUUACUUUGAAAAAAUUAGAGUGUUUAAAGCAAGCUCGCGCUUGAAUACAUUAGCAUGGAAUAAUGAAAUAGGACGUUUGAUUCUAUUUUGUUGGUUUCUAGGAUCGACGUAAUGAUUAAUAGGGAUAGUUGGGGGCAUUAGUAUUCAAUUGUCAGAGGUGAAAUUCUUGGAUUUAUUGAAGACUAACUACUGCGAAAGCAUUUGCCAAGGAUGUUUUCAUUAAUCAAGAACGAAAGUUAGGGGAUCGAAGACGAUCAGAUACCGUCGUAGUCUUAACCAUAAACUAUGCCGACUAGGGAUCGGAUGAUGUUAAUU